AUUAAUUGAUUUUAAAUUGCAAGUUUAAAUGUUGUUAAGUUAAUA
rnacentral:tRNA from 1 species